UGUGGUUGCAGGGCUUGCAGGUGCUGCCCAUCUUCCCAUCUCAGCUCCAAGCAGGUCUCCUGGGAGCACCUGCCAAGCAUUCCCUCUCAUUUCAAGCCUGGCUGUUCCUGCUGAGAAAGUCUGAUGAAGCUUCGAGUCUGGGUCAAGGGACAGAGAUUGCUGGCUGAGAGGCAGAGGUCUGAGCCCAAAGAAAACAUGUCUGAAGCAGCAGUGUAACUGCUUUGGCCGGGCUUUCCGCGUUUUCCCAGACUGCUCGCGGAGCCUGCAGGAUCCGGAGGGGCUGCAAGUGUGAGGUGACUUUCACGGCAUCAAUGAGCAGCUGUAAAAGAACUUUCUGCCUCUCCCAGCAGUUAAUAACUUCACUGCGCACAGCUUAGCUUUUCAAAAAGACCUAAUGUGUUUUUUGGCYGCCUGAGGACGGCGGAGGAAUGUUCCUGGUAACAGGGAGAAUUAUUUUUAAGGGGGGAGGAAAAAGUAAAAACAAACCCUCAAACA